rnacentral:rRNA from 1 species
UAGUAAUCGCGCAUCAGCCAUGGCGCGGUGAAUACGUUCCCGGGCCUUGUACACACCGCCCGUCAAGCCAUGAAAGCCGGGGGUACCUGAAGUCCGUGACCGCAAGGGUCGGCCUAGGGUAAAACUGGUGAUUGGGGCUAAGUCGUAACAAGGUAGCCGUACCGGAAGGUGCGGCUGGAACACCUCCUUU